rnacentral:rRNA from 1 species
GAUGAACGCUGGCGGCGUGCCUAAUACAUGCAAGUCGAGCGAACAGAUGAGGAGCUUGCUCCUCUGACGUUAGCGGCGGACGGGUGAGUAACACGUGGAUAACCUACCUAUAAGACUGGGAUAACUUCGGGAAACCGGAGCUAAUACCGGAUAAUAUAUUGAACCGCAUGGUUCAAUAGUGAAAGACGGUUUUGCUGUCACUUAUAGAUGGAUCCGCGCCGCAUUAGCUAGUUGGUAAGGUAACGGCUUACCAAGGCAACGAUGCGUAGCCGACCUGAGAGGGUGAUCGGCCACACUGGAACUGAGACACGGUCAAGACUCCUAAGGGAGGCAGCAGUAGGGAAUCUUCCGCAAUGGGCGAAAGCCUGACGGAGCAACGCCGCGUGAGUGAUGAAGGUCUUCGGAUCGUAAAACUCUGUUAUUAGGGAAGAACAAAUGUGUAAGUAACUAUGCACGUCUUGACGGUACCUAAUCAGAAAGCCACGGCUAACUACGUG